rnacentral:rRNA from 1 species
GGAAGACAGAAUGAGCACACGAUGGAUGCCCAGGCGCUGCGUGCCGAUGAAGGACGGGGCAUCGCUCCGAUAAGCCGCGGGGAGCCGCGAGCAGGCUGUGAUCCGCGGAUGUCCGAAUGGGGCAACCCACCCCUGCGGGGGUACGGUCGCAAGACCGGGGGCACCCGGCCAACUGAAACAUCUCAGUAGCCGGAGGAAGAGAGAACUACACCCGUAGUAGUGGCGAACGAACCGGGUUCAGGCCUAAACCCGCGCCGUGGCAAGGCGCCAGCCGUUGCGGCGCGGGGGUUGGAGGGCACGGCCGGCGCGCUGGCGAGCGCCACCCUGACCGCCGGACGCAGGCGAAGCGGUUUGGAACACCGCACCAGAGGGGGUGAGAGUCCCGUAGCCGCGUCUUACCGUCAGGGGCCGUGACCCUGAGUAGGUCCGGGCACGAAGAACCCGGGCUGAAGCCGGGCUGACCACAGUCCAAGGCAAGCUACACGCAGCGACCGAUAGCGCACAGUACCGUGAGGGAACGGUGAAAAGCACCCCGGUGAGGGGAGUGAAAGAGAACCUGAAAUCGUGUGCUUCCACGCCGUGGGAGCCCUGCGGGGUGACCGCGUGCCUUUUGGAGUAUGAUCCGGCGAGUUAUCCUGCGUGGCACGGUUAAGGCAGUGACAGCCGGAGCCGGAGUGAAAGCGAGCCUGCAUGAGGCGUUGGUCGCGCAGGAUAGACGCGAAACCACGUGAGCUACCCAUGGGCAGGCUGAAGCGUCCCUAACAGGACGUGGAGGGCCGCACCGGUGUGGGUUACAAACCGCUCGGAUGACCUGUGGGUAGGGGUGAAAUGCCAAUCGAACGUGGAGAUAGCUCGUUCUCCCCGAAAUGCAUUGAGGUGCAGCCGCGGGUAUGGCGCCGCUGGAGGUAGAGCACUGUUGUUGUGCGGGGGCUUCACCGCUUACCAAGCGACGGCAAACUCCGAAUGCCAGCGCGCGCGCACCGCGAGUGAGACGGCGGGUGCGAAUAUCCGUCGUCGAGAGGGAAACAACCCAGACCGCCAGCUAAGGCCCCUAAAUCACCGCUCAGUGGGAAAGGUUGUGGCGCCGCGUAGACAACCAGGAGGUUGGCUUAGAAGCAGCCAUCCUUGAAAGAGUGCGUAACAGCUCACUGGUCGAGUAGCGCUGCGCCGACGCUUUAACGGGGCAAAGCGGUGUGCCGACGCUGCGGGUUCUCUGCGGAGAACGGUAGGGGAGCGUCGUCCGGGGCGUGAAGCCGGCGCGGAAGCGCCGGUGGACCGCGGACGAGUGCGAAUGCCGGAAUGAGUAACAGAGAAGUGGGGUUGCAAUCCCCACCGCCGAAAGCCUGAGGGUUCCGCCGCACGGAUGCACCGCGGCGGGUUAGUCGGGCCUAAGCCGCAGCCGCAAGGCGCAGGCGAUGGACAACAGGCGCAUAUUCCUGUACCACCGUCGGGUCGCUAGACUGAUGCCGGACGCUGAGGGGGAGUCGCCGCGGCGAGACGAGCGCCGUGCAAGCCGGUAGGGAGCAGGCGGAGGCAAAUCCCCGCCUGCGGUGACCGAGAGGUGAUGCGCAGGCCGGCCCGCAGGGGCAGGCCAAUGGCGAGGCACCUGUGCAGCCGAGAAAUGCCGGCUAGGGAGACCCGCGGUGCCCGUACCGCAAACCGACCCAGGUAGGCUGGUCGAGGAGACCAAGGCGGACGAGUGAGCCCUGGUUAAGGAACUCGGCAAAUUGACCCCGUACCUUCGGAAGAAGGGGUGCUGCGCUAGGGUGAACCCGCACGCCGGGGGAGCGCGAGGCAGCCGCAGGGUCCAGGCCCGGGCGACUGGAUACCAGAACCACAGCUCCCUGCUGAAGCCGGAAGGCGAUGUAUAGGGGGUGAUGCCUGCCCAGUGCCGGAAGGUUAAGGGGAGGUGUGCAAGCACCGAACCGAAGCCCCGGUAAACGGCGGCCGUAACUAUAACGGUCCUAAGGUAGCGAAAUUCCUUGUCGGGUAAGUUCCGACCU